CCCGCGGCUCCGACACGCCGGAGCCCACGUCCUUCCGGGAGCGCGCGCGCCGGUGCGGGUGCGUGCGUGAGCGUGCUCGUCUCCGCUGCCGCUGCCGCUGCCGCUGCCGCUGCCGGUGCUGCACCCGCGCCCUCUGCCGCCGCCGCCGCCGCCCGGGGUCUCCAGGCUGAGGAGUGCGUCGGCCGCUGCCCAGCAGCGCCGCGAAUCGGGGAGCGGAGCCGCGGAGCCGGCGGGAGGGCGGGCGGGCGGGCGGACGGGCAGAGUAGCCUAACAUGGCAGACCAGAGACAGCGCUCACUGUCUACCUCUGGGGAGUCAUUGUACCACGUCCUUGGGUUGGACAAGAACGCAACCUCAGAUGACAUUAAAAAGUCCUAUCGGAAGCUUGCCUUGAAAUAUCACCCCGACAAGAACCCCGACAACCCGGAGGCCGCGGACAAGUUUAAGGAGAUCAACAACGCGCACGCCAUCCUCACGGACGCCACAAAAAGGAACAUCUACGACAAGUACGGCUCGCUGGGUCUCUACGUGGCCGAGCAGUUUGGGGAAGAGAACGUGAACACCUACUUCGUGCUGUCCAGCUGGUGGGCCAAGGCCCUAUUUGUCUUCUGCGGCCUCCUCACGUGCUGCUACUGCUGCUGCUGUCUGUGCUGCUGCUUCAACUGCUGCUGUGGGAAGUGUAAGCCCAAGGCGCCUGAGGGCGAGGAGACGGAGUUCUACGUGUCCCCCGAGGAUCUGGAGGCACAGCUGCAGUCUGACGAGAGGGGAGGGCACUGACACUGUGCCGCGAGUGUUUGUGGUGGCAGCUGGGACUGUUGAGGUGUGAACGUGGACCCUGAGAGGCCACAGACACGCCGAUCGUCAUACAGCCGGCAUCCGCCACCGAGACCACCCAGCUCACAGCCGACUCCCACCCCAGCUACCACACCGACGGGUUCAACUAAAUCCAGGAGGAGCUGUGGUCAGAGGAGGAGCCGGCGCCUGGCCACGCCAACCUUAGAAUCAUGAACUGUAGUCACAGAGAUGGGAAGGCAGCCUCCUGCCUGCCCUGGCCUUGCUGGGGCCCCUCCUGCCUCCACGCCCACCCAGCGUCGACCCUUGACCCACGAAGUGCGUAGCAUGCAGUAUUUAAAGCAGUGUAGCUACGGUCUUCUGUUUUUUUUCGUUUUUUAAUAGCAUGUACGGGGUUCUGUUCCAUGUCUGUGUUGUGGACAUUCCGCGGCAUGACCGCGUGAACCGCACGGUGGAGCUGCCUCAGGGCUGUCGGUCAGGUUGGUCCAGUGAGGGGUGACUGCAGCCGGUCAGGUGGGCGAGGAGAAGGGGGGCUGCCCCUUUCCUACCUGUGCUUGAGGGGCCGGAGGCAGGUGCUGCCUGGCAGAGCUGUGUUACUGUCUUGGCCUCGGGGUCUGGUCCACACUCUGUGCUCCCAGCCUUGAGGCUGCAGUAGGACUCUGAUCUCACCUGCCAGAAGAGGGGCGGGGCCGCGUCCUCCUGGCGUCACCGGCGUCACUGUCAUUCCUUGGUGUCUGUGCUGGGCACGGUUGGCUUGGGGGUCUGUGGUUUCCUGGGCCUUGUGGCAGGGUUUCUCCCGUGGGAGAAUUUGGUGUGGAAAGCAUAGGAGGCCCCUUCCGAGGUUGACACCGUGUCCUCUGCGGUGUUUCUCGCCUGGUCGUCUCGUCGUGUGGACGCUGCCGUUCUGGUUCUCGGAGGUGUGUCCUUCGCCGUGUUGGGGUUAUUUGUCUGUGUUCCUGCACUUUUCCCGGGCUCUGAGCUGGAUUGAUGGGGCCAGUCUCCCCCCUCCCAUCUUGAGGUCGUUCUCCACAUUCCUUCCAGCCCACCUGUCCUUUCCAUAGCCCUGUGUGGACCUUUAGAACCACAGAUGAUAGGACCAGCCCAAUGAGCCACAGUCAGAGAGUAGAUUGUGCAUGUGUGAGCACCCAGCUACUGGGGACGGGGGCUCUCCCACGACCCCUCCUCCUGUGUUUGCCAGAGCUCCCAUCUGCCCCACUCGCCUUUGCCCCGUCAUCAAUGAUUCAGGCAGAGCCAGAUUCGUUAGGUCCCUGGAGGAAGGACUGACUGGACCAGAGGGACCCUCUGGCUCAGGAGGGUUGGGUCCCUGGGAGGCCGGCAGCCAGGCCACGGAAUCCACACGUGGACCAUUGUGGGUCCCUUGGGAGGCCAGCAGCCAGACUACGGAAUCCACAUGUGGACCAUGGGAAGUCAGUCUCUUGUGUGUCCUAGACCUUGUGGGUGGCGCCCUGCGUAGGGGAGCAGGGGGAACGGGUCUGGUGUCCCUGUGCUGGCUGAGGGCUCAGAGCUGCCCGCACUCCGUGGCUCAUGGGAUGUGCUGGGCCUGCCUUUGGCGCCAUGCUGCAGACUCCAGUGGGCCUGGUUUCUGCAGAAUGUCCAUGGUGGCCGCUGCAGAGUUGCAGAGGUCCCUGUAGAGAUAAAGCUGAGGAGGAGGCUGUGUGUGAUGGCUCUGGCUCGGACCAACCAGAUGAGCCUCCUGAAGCCCCUUUCCCUGCCUGCCUGCUGACCCGUGGCCCCAGCUCACUCACUGCCCUCAGCAGCCACCCGAGGCUGUGCAGAAGGGUAGGUUCAGGUUGACCAGGAAGCUGCCAAAAGGGACAUGGAUAUGAGGACACAUCUGGACGUGCUUAGGAACAGGGUGCUGGUUGAGGGCCCCCCACUGACCCCUACUGCAGAUCCGCAUGUGGACCAUGAGCCGGCUGCCAGCACCAGGUCCUGGGCAGCUUUGUUUGUCCCACUUUUCUUUGUUUCUUCUCACUAAAAUGAUCACGAAGACCUUUGACAAGAGGAGAGAUAUGCACUGUGAUAUUAAAUUAGAAGUAAUUUAUCAAAAUCAGACCUCUCCUGAAAGAAUAAGAAAUUCGUUGUUUGGCCCAUCCUGAAACGUGAGGUGGGGAGACAGUGGGGUGCCUCCGUGCCGCUCCGUGCAGCAGCAAGUUCAGCCUGAGAUGCUGGCUGUACUCAGCCUUUGCAAUUUUUGUAGACGUAGCUUAGGACGUGAGUUAUUUUUCCGCAGACUGGCCAAGAGCCAGGUUCUAAGCUUGGACCUAAGGUAGAAAGCUGCCCAUCGGGGGCCCUAGCUCAGCCCCACCAGACCCUCUGUUGGGCCUGCACACAGCUCUGUGGCUAGAACACUCCAAGGCCCUUCGGUAUCCAUCAGAGUGGGCCCCUUGCCAGGUGGCUUUUCAGUUACAGAGUCCACUGGACCAUUUUGUAGAACCAUGCAGCUCCCUGCAGAAGGUGGGGUAGGGUGGGAAAGAGGAGCAGGUCUGGAGGUUUGUGGAACCCAGUCCCCUGCAGAAUUUGUGAAACCUAAUAAAUCGUGGUUAUGGCCAUUCUCACGGUGGUGAUUGUGAUUAGACGACCCCCGGGAAGCCCGGACACUCGGGGCCUGGAGUUCCUCCCCCUGCCUGACCUGGAAGCAGAACCGUUUUCAGCGCUCUGCCCUGUUGGCUUUAAGGCUUUGUCUUAAUUUAAGGAAAAAGAUCCUCCCGGGUUUUAUUUCUCUCUUUCUUGAGUGGACUGCUUCCCUAUAAUUAAAAGAGGUGGUGAGUCCUGGGGCAGCUUCCGCGCCUCCCUGUCCACGUGCUAACAGAUCAGGACGCCCCCAGCACCCCUGCCUGCUGGUGGCAGCGACGGGACCCCGACUCCUCACUCUUGGGCCGCAGACAAUGCUGUGAGCGAGUGUGGCCAUGGGCACAGAAUGUCCCUUUGGACGCCGCUGCUGGGGGCUGCCAGGGGCCCUCUGGGGUCGUGCUUUGAGGCCCGUCCGGUUCACGAGGGGGUCCGGGCAGCACUGACUGCUUCCGACCUGCAGGAGGCGUAGGAGCGGCCCCGCGGGCCCUUUCACGGCAGCUGCUGCUGUAUAGAUUUGUCUCCACUCAGUGACGUGGGAUUUUUUUGUCUUCCUUUUGGCUUUAUUUUAAAACUGCUUUAGAUAUUACUGCUCAGUGUUUGUGAACUUUCCUAGUUCUCUAUGUUGUUAGUGCAGCCAGCACCCAGUGGGGACCUACUAGAAAAAGGAACUGGCAUGCACACGUGCCCAGCAGGAAAAGCUUCGUCUUCACGUCGGCUGCUGCCGUCCAGAAGAGGCCCUGGAGCCUCACGCCGUCGAGGCUGCUCUCAGGCGUUCUGUUCCGGGCGAGGCUUGUGCUGCAAGGAAGGGCACCAGCAUGCAGGCUGCCACUGGAGGGUGCGGGUGCUGCGGGCAGAGUUCAGUGCUUGUCCACCCUCCCUUAGCUCUGACUCAGUGCAUCCUACUGUGGGGACAUCUCGUGAGGGGACACGAAAUGACUGAUCUCACCCUUUCCCAGUAUUCAGAGCUGUGAACCCCUGUGGCGCAGGACUGGCCUGUGUCUGUUAUUUUGGUUGUAAAUCAUUCUCCUGUGGAAUUGGCAAAAGCUACAUUUUUACUGUCCUUACCAGCAACAGUUUGCGUCGUCACAUGCUGUGAGUGUGGGCUGUGGUGUGUCCAUGUGUGUACAUAUGUGUAUAUGUAUAUAUCACGCAGCAGGAGUGUCAUUCAUGCUGCUGUCCCCUGGUGAAGUGACAAGUACAAUUAAAGGUGGCUCUGAAAUGGCCUCUGGUUUCUUGGGAGUCGGGCAGGGACCUGCAGGAGGCUUUCCCGGCAGGUGCACAGAAGGAAGCGCUGAGCCCACUGUGUGCAGAGGGUGUGUGCCCAGGGCACUGCCACGGCCCCCACCGGCAUUGGCCUCUGCUCUGCAGGGUGGGGUGCCCAUCCUGGGGGCUGUGUGUCAUGCUCACCUGACCCAGGUGUGUGUCCCGGUGUGAAAUCGAGGAGGGGACUGGAAGCCCUUCCCUGCCUUGAAACAUGAAAGCUGAUUUUCUGAGCAGCAGAUACGGUCAGUGGCAAAGCUGCAUCUGAAGGGCGGCCUGGGAAGGGGCCCUGUGCUGGCCCCGGGUCCGCCCCAGAGGAGUCCACACAGCACCACCUCCAGAAGGGGCUGGGCCCGGGGUCCUGCAGGCGGCACCUUUUGGUAGAGUUUGUUUCCCUGGAAAAUGGGGAAAAUGUUUCAAGCCAGGUGAGGGGGGAAGUUAACACUGAAAUGUGUAUUGUUUUUAAAAAUCAAAUGCACACGCAUGGAAGCUGCUUGUCCAUGCACUGGUUUUGUCACUGGCGUCCUGGAAUCCGACCGUGUUGGGGUGCAGGCGCUGUCAGACUCCGGCUGAUCCUGGCUCGAGCACACACAUCUAAGGGCCAGGCUGGUUCCGCAUGGUGAUCUCCGUCUUUUAUGUCUGAAUGUUGACCUAAAAUAAAGAUUACUGUUGUAAAAUAAAUGUUUUCACUGCAGACCCCA